GGGGCUAUAGCUCAGGCGGUUAGAGCGCUUCACUGAUAAUGAAGAGGUCCCAGGUUCAAGUCCUGGUAGCCCCAC
rnacentral:tRNA from 13 species